rnacentral:rRNA from 1 species
GACGAACGCUGGCGGCGUGCUUAAUACAUGCAAGCCAACGACUUUUAGAGUAGCAAUAUUUUAAAAGGAGUGGCGCACGGGUGAGUAACACGUAGGUAAUCUGCCUUCAGGACUGACACAACUCGUCGAAAGACGGGCUAAUAUCAGAUAAUGCAGCGGCUCCGCAUGGAGACAGUUGUUAAAGUACAAGCGCCUGAAGAUGAGCCUGCGGUCCAUUAGCUAGUUGGUAGAGUAACAGCCUACCAAGGCAACGAUGGAUAGCUGGUCUGAGAGGAUGAUCAGCCACACUGGAACUGAGACACGGUCCAGACUCCUACGGGAGGCAGUAGUAAGGAAUAUUGCUCAAUGGCCGAAAGGCUGAAGCAGCAACGCCGCGUGAAGGAUGAAUGGCCUUUGGCCUGUAAACUUCUGUAAAAGGGAAAACAAUCAGGCAUGUCCUGAUUUGAUUGUACCUUU